AACAAUGCUGUAUUUAUUUAUUUUUCUGUUGUCAGAGGAUAUAGAUCACAAGACAGAGAUCAGCAGUCCCAGUACACAGUGUGGCUUGGUUAGUUUCCAAGGGAACACAUUAGGCAGGUUGGGCAGGCUCCGGUGUGAGUUUCCACUCUGAUGACUUUUGACUUCUGGCCUUUGCAUCCAGGCUGCUCAUACCCUGUUGCUCUCUGACCCUCAGCCCCGCUGCCCCUGAACCCUUCCAUCCCUCUCCACUCUGACCCCUGACAGGCAGGGACAAGAAACUGCAAAGUCUGCCAUAUCCACACCACCAGGCAGAGAGACAGAACCGUCCCCACCCUUUCCACUGCCUGUCCCCUUGACUAUCUCCUGCUAGAGACCAGCUUCGGAGAAGAAAGGAGUCCUCUGCUCAGAUAAAUCGGGCCAGAGAUGGAAGUCUUAGAAGCAGGAAAGGUGGAUGAAGGCAGGGGGACUCCAGAGCCUACCAGGUUAUUGCUCGGAAGAUAAGAG
rnacentral:lncRNA from 1 species